AGAGUUUGAUCCUGGCUCAGAACGAACGCUGGCGGCACGCUUAACACAUGCAAGUCGAACGGAAUUAUGGAGCUUGCUCCGUAAUUUAGUGGCGCACGGGUGAGUAACACGUGGAUAUCUGUCUAUUAGUGGUGAAUAACUUCGGGAAACUGGAGUUAAUACAGCAUAAGCUUGAAAAAGGAAAGGCCGCAAGGUCGCUGAUAGGGGAGUUUGCGUCUGAUUAGGUAGUUGGUAGGGUAAUGGCCUACCAAGCCAAUGAUCAGUAGCUGGUCUGAGAGGAUGGUCAGCCACACUGGAACUGAGAUACGGUCCAGACUCCUACGGGAGGCAGCAGUGGGGAAUAUUGGACAAUGGGGGAAACCCUGAUCCAGCGAUGCCGCGUGAGUGAUGAAGGCCUUAGGGUUGUAAAGCUCUUUUGAUAGGGACGAUGAUGACGGUACCUAUAGAAUAAGCACCGGCUAACUCUGUGCCAGCAGCCGCGGUAAUACAGAGGGUGCUAGCGUUGUUCGGAAUUACUGGGCGUAAAGGGCGUGUAGGCGGCUAUGUAAGUCAGAUGUUAAAGACCUAGGCUCAACCUAGGGGGUGCGUUUGAUACUGCUUGGCUAGAGAGCAGGAGAGGAGAAUGGAAUUUCCGGUGUAGAGGUAAAAUUCGUAGAUAUCGGAAGGAACACCAGUGGCGAAGGCGAUUCUCUGGACUGUUUCUGACGCUGAGGCGCGAAAGCAUGGGGAGCAAACAGGAUUAGAUACCCUGGUAGUCCAUGCCUUAAACGAUGGAAGCUAGGUGUCGGGACUUUUGAGUUUCGGUGCCGUCGCUAACGCAUUAAGCUUCCCGCCUGGGGAGUACGGUCGCAAGAUUAAAACUCAAAGGAAUUGACGGGGACCCGCACAAGCGGUGGAGCAUGUGGUUUAAUUCGAAGCAACGCGAAGAACCUUACCCGCUUUUGACAUAGGGAUCGAAAGAUUAAGAGAUUAGUUUGUCGGUUCGGCCGGAUCCUAUACAGGUGCUGCAUGGCUGUCGUCAGCUCGUGUCGUGAGACGUUGGGUUAAGUCCCGCAACGAGCGCAACCCCUAUUUGUAAUUGCCAUCACGUUAUGGUGGGCACUUUACGAAAACUGCCACUGAUAAAGUGGAGGAAGGUGGGGAUGACGUCGAGUCCUCAUGGCCCUUAUGGGCGGGGCUACACACGUGCUACAAUGGUGGUGACAGAGAGAAGCAAUUAGGCAACUAGGAGCGAAUCUUUAAAAGCCAUCUCAGUUCAGAUUGUACUCUGCAACUCGAGUACAUGAAGUUGGAAUCGCUAGUAAUCGCGGAUCAGCAUGCCGCGGUGAAUACGUUCUCGGGUCUUGUACACACCGCCCGUCACACCAUGGGAGUUGAUUUUACUUUAAGUCGGUAAGCUAACCAGCAAUGGAGGCAGCCGAUCACGGUGAGGUUGAUGACUGGGGUGAAGUCGUAACAAGGUAACCGUA
rnacentral:rRNA from 2 species